GACAGAGGCCUCGAGCGUUAGGCGGAAUCACUGGGCUUAAAGCGUGUGUAGGCGGAAGAGUAAGUACCUUGUGAAAUCCCACGGCUCACCCGUGGAACCGCUGGGUAUACUGCUCUUCUUGGGCCACUCAGGGGCGACUGGAACAAGCGGUGGAGCGGUGAAAUGCGUAGAUAUCGCUUGGAACGCCGAAGGUGAAAACAGGUCGCUGGGAGUGCGCCGACGCUGAGACACGAAAGCCAGGGGAGCAAACGGG
rnacentral:rRNA from 1 species